UACGUAGGGUGCGAGCGUUGUCCGGAAUUAUUGGGCGUAAAGCGCGUGUAGGCGGCUUUGCAAGUCGGAUGUGAAAGCCCUCGGCUCAACCGAGGAAGUGCGUUCGAAACUGCAGAGCUUGAGUGCCGGAGAGGGUGGCGGAAUUCCCCAAGUAGAGGUGAAAUUCGUAGAUAUGGGGAGGAACACCGGUGGCGAAGGCGCCGACCUGGACGGCAUGAGCUGAGACGACGAACGUGG
rnacentral:rRNA from 1 species